rnacentral:rRNA from 1 species
CAUUAUGAGAGUUUGAUCCUGGCUCAGGACGAACGCUGGCGGCGUGCCUAAUACAUGCAAGUCGAACGCUUUUUCUUUCACCGGAGCUUGCUCCACCGAAAGAAAAAGAGUGGCGAACGGGUGAGUAACACGUGGGUAACCUGCCCAUCAGAAGGGGAUAACACUUGGAAACAGGUGCUAAUACCGUAUAACACUAUUUUCCGCAUGGAAGAAAGUUGAAAGGCGCUUUUGCGUCACUGAUGGAUGGACCCGCGGUGCAUUAGCUAGUUGGUGAGGUAACGGCUCACCAAGGCCACGAUGCAUAGCCGACCUGAGAGGGUGAUCGGCCACACUGG